AUUGAACGCUGGCGGCAGGCCUAACACAUGCAAGUCGAACGAGUGGCGGACGGGUGAGUAAUGUCUGGGAAACUGCCUGAUGGAGGGGGAUAACUACUGGAAACGGUAGCUAAUACCACAUACCAUCGGAUGUGCCCAGAUAGGAUUAGCUAGUAGGGUGGGUAAAGGCUCAACUGGACGACGAUCCCUAGGUGGUCUGAGAGGAUGACCAGCAACACGGGAACGGAGACACGGUCCAGACUCCUACGGGAGGCAGCAGUGGGGAAUAUUGCACAAGGGGCGCAAGCCUGAUGCAGCCAGGCCGCGUGUAUGAAGAAGGCCUUCGGGUUGUAAAGUACUUUCAGCGGGGAGGCGUUACCCGCAGAAGAAGCACCGGCUAACUCCGUGCCAGCCGCCGCGGUAAUAC
rnacentral:rRNA from 1 species